rnacentral:rRNA from 1 species
CCUACGGGAGGCUGCAGUGAGGAAUAUUGGUCAAUGGACGAGAGUCUGAACCAGCCAAGUAGCGUGAAGGAUGACUGCCCUAUGGGUUGUAAACUUCUUUUAUCAAGGAAUAAAACGAGGCACGUGUGCCUUUUUGCGUGUACUUUAUGAAUAAGGAUCGGCUAACUCCGUGCCAGCAGCCGCUGUAAUACGGAGGAUCCGAGCGUUAUCCGGAUUUAUUGGGUUUAAAGGGAGCGGAGAUGGGUUGUUAAGUCAGUUGUGAAAGUGUGCGGCUCAACCGUAAAAUUGCAAUUGAUACUGGCAGUCGUGAGUACAGUUGAGGCAGGCGGAAUUCGUGGUGUAGCGGUGAAAUGCUUAGAUAUCACGAAGAACCCCGAUUGCGAAGGCAGCUUACUAAACUGUGACUGACAUUGAUGCUCGAAAGUGUGGGUAUCAAACAGGAUUAGAUACCCUGGUAGUC